rnacentral:rRNA from 1 species
CAAUAGCGUAUAUUUAAGUUGUUGCAGUUAAAAAGCUCGUAGUUGGAUUUCGGUUAAGAGCGACCGGUCCGCCGUUUGGUGUGCACUGGUUGGUUUUAACUUCCUGUAGAGGACGUGCUCUGGGUUUAACGACCUGGACUCGGAGUCUACGUGGUUACUUUGAAAAAAUUAGAGUGUUCAAAGCGGGCUUACGCUUGAAUAUUUCAGCAUGGAAUAACACUAUAGGACUCCUGUCCUAUUUCGUUGGUCUCGGGACGGGAGUAAUGAUUAAGGGGAACAGUUGGGGGCAUUCGUAUUUCAUUGUCAGAGGUGAAAUUCUUGGAUUUAUGAAAGACGAACUUCUGCGAAAGCAUUUGCCAAGGAUGUUUUCAUUAA